rnacentral:lncRNA from 1 species
CUGUGCCAGCAGGUCUGUCAAAAUACCUUGGGCUCCUACAAGUGCCGUUGCAGUCCAGGGUUUCACCUCUCUUCGGAUGGGACAUCCUGCUCUGACAUUAAUGAGUGAGACGGCGGUCUUCCAGCAGAAACUGUUGCAGAGGUGUGAGUGGAAGUGUGUAAAUCUGCCAGGUAUUUACAGAUGUAUCUGUCCUCAUGGAUACAGACUGCAUCUUAAUGGACACCAGUGUGAAGAUGUUAAUGAGUGUGAACUGAAGAACGCCAACUGUUCUCACCUCUGCAUCAACCACAUAGGCGGCUACAAAUGUGCCUGUCCAGAAACACAUCGAAUAUCCCCAUAUAACCAAAAAAACUGUCAGCCGGUAGACUAACACACAUCAGCUCAUCACACUGACUCAUUUAUCUUUUUUUUGUAUAUUCAUUUAACUAUCUUUUGUAUUUAAUACAAAAUAUUUUGUAUUUGUACACCCGCAGUUAUGUACGAAUAAGCUCUGAUGAUGAUGAUGAUGAUGAUGAUGAUGACGACGACGGUGUAUUGUAUUUAUAAUGAUAAAGUUCUGUUUUUUUAUUGCUUAUAAAGAAU